rnacentral:rRNA from 1 species
AUUGAACGCUGGCGGCAGGCCUAACACAUGCAAGUCGAACGAGUGGCGGACGGGUGAGUAAUGUCUGGGAAACUGCCCGAUGGCGGGGGAUAACUACUGGAAACGGUAGCUAAUACCGCAUACCAUCUGAUGUGCCCAGAUGGGCGUAGCUUGUAGGUGGGGUAAUGGCUCACCGAGGCGACGAUCCCUAGCUGGUCUGAGAGGAUGACCAGCCACACUGGAACUGAGACAGGGUCCAGACUCAUAGGGGAGGCAGCAGUGGGGAAUAUUGGACAAUGGGCGCAAGCCUGAUGCAGCAAUGCCGCGUGUAUGAAGAAGGCUUUCGGGUUGUAAAGUACUUUCAGCGAGGAGGCGUUACUCGCAGAAGAAGCACCGGCUAACUCCGUGCCAGCAGCCGCGGUAAAC